rnacentral:rRNA from 1 species
GACGAACGCUGGCGGCGUGCUUAACACAUGCAAGUCGAACGGUAAGGCCCUUCGGGGUACACGAGUGGCGAACGGGUGAGUAACACGUGGGUGAUCUGCCCUGCACUUCGGGAUAAGCCUGGGAAACUGGGUCUAAUACCGGAUAGGACUCCUGGCUUCAUGGUUGGGGGUGGAAAGCUUUUGCGGUGUGGGAUGGGCCCGCGGCCUAUCAGCUUGUUGGUGGGGUGAUGGCCUACCAAGGCGACGACGGGUAGCCGGCCUGAGAGGGUGACCGACCACACUGGGACUGGGAUACGGCCCAGACUCCUACGGGAGGCAGCAGUGGGGAAUAUUGCACAAUGGGCGCAAGCCUGAUGCAGCGACGCCGCGUGAGGGAUGACGGCCUUCGGGUUGUAAACCUCUUUCAGCACCGACGAAGCGCAAGUGACGGUAGGUGCAGAAGAAGGACCGGCCAACUACGUGCCAGCCGCCGCGGUAA